rnacentral:tRNA from 1 species
GAGGGUGUAGCUCAGUGGUAGAGCGCAUGCUUAGCAUGCACGAGGUCCUGGGUUCAAUCCCCAGUAACUCCA